rnacentral:lncRNA from 10 species
AGGCAUGAGCUCAGGAUUCCUAAAGCCCUACGGGGCUGAGCAAGGACGGUGCUUUGCGUUUGCCUCCCUUCCCCCAGCCCGCCCGAGAGGGUUUGCUGGGGCAGGGUGGCCCCUGGGACGGGUUCCAGACAGUUCUAGGCGCUCAGGUCCGCAGCUGUGCUACCCCCGCCGCCCGGGACGCCCGGUCCCCGCCAGGGCCCUCUCACUGUAGCUUUAAGGAGGGCUGGGGCCGGGUGCAGCGGCACCUGGAGUCUCGGUGGAACCCGGCAGCGGUGGGCGCGGACCCCGGAGAGGCUGCCCCGAGCCCGAGCACCCCCUGACCGGGCGCUCACCACGGGUGUUGGGACAAGCAGCGGAGCCUGCGGGCUGGAGCCAGGCUCGGACCCUCCGCGCCGGGGCGGGCGGCCGAGCGGACGCAGCUGGGUCCUUCUCCUACUUUCUGGGCUCACUCGGCUCCCUGUGACGCGAUCCCGCUUGCACCCUUGCCCUUCACGUUGACCGCAGUGGCUGGUGGGCAGUGGGGGACACCCUGGGCUCCGCCUGGGUUUUCUCUUGCUGGUGACUUGGGCCCUGGCGCUCAGUGUCCCUGGUCGUUAGACAAGGGUGCCUUGAGCCACUUGUUGUUCAGGCGGUUUCUUCUUUACAGAAAGUGGCCCCCCACACGCCCUUCCU